rnacentral:rRNA from 2 species
UUAUCCAGGCAAAUCCGGAUAAUCAAGGCUGAGGUGUGAUGACGAGGCACUACGGUGCUGAAGUAACAAAUGCCCUGCUUCCAGGAAAAGCCUCUAAGCAUCAGGUAACAUCAAAUCGUACCCCAAACCGACACAGGUGGUCAGGUAGAGAAUACCAAGGCGCUUGAGAGAACUCGGGUGAAGGAACUAGGCAAAAUGGUGCCGUAACUUCGGGAGAAGGCACGCUGGUGUGUAGGUGA